UACGAAGGGGGCUAGCGUUGCUCGGAAUCACUGGGCGUAAAGGGCGCGUAGGCGGCGUUUUAAGUCGGGGGGUGAAAGCCUGUGGCUCAACCACAGAAUGGCCUUCGAUACUGGGACGCUUGAGUAUGGUAGAGGUUGGUGGAACUGCGAAUGUAGAGGUGAAAUUCGUAGAUAUUCGCAAGAACACCGGUGGCGAAGGCGGCCAACUGGACCAUUACUGACGCUGAGGCGCGAAAGCGUGGGGAGCAAACAGG
rnacentral:rRNA from 1 species